GUCCACGCCGUAAACGAUGAAUGCUAGCCGUCGGUGGGCAUGCCCUUCGGUGGCGCAGCUAACGCAAUAAGCAUUCCGCCUGGGGAGUACUAUCGCAAGAUUAAAACUCAAAGGAAUUGACGGGGCCCGCACAAGCGGUGGAGCAUGUGGUUUAAUUCGAAGCAACGCGAAGAACCUUACCAGGCCUUGACAUCCCGAUCGCGGGUUCCUGAAAGGGAGCCUUUCAGUUCGGCUGGAUCGGUGACAGGUGCUGCAUGGCUGUCGU
rnacentral:rRNA from 1 species